rnacentral:rRNA from 1 species
ACGAACGCUGGCGGCGUGCUUAACACAUGCAAGUCGAACGAAGAGCGAUGGAAGCUUGCUUCUAUCAAUCUUAGUGGCGAACGGGUGAGUAACGCGUAAUCAACCUGCCCUUCAGAGGGGGACAACAGUUGGAAACGACUGCUAAUACCGCAUACGAUCCAAUCUCGGCAUCGGGACUGGAUGAAAGGUGGCCUCUAUUUAUAAGCUAUCACUGAAGGAGGGGAUUGCGUCUGAUUAGCUAGUUGGAGGGGUAACGGCCCACCAAGGCGAUGAUCAGUAGCCGGUCUGAGAGGAUGAACGGCCACAUUGGGACUGAGACACGGCCCAGACUCCUACGGGAGGCAGCAGUGGGGAAUCUUCCGCAAUGGACGAAAGUCUGACGGAGCAACGCCGCGUGAGUGAUGACGGCCUUCGGGUUGUAAAGCUCUGUUAAUCGGGACGAAUGGUUCUUGUGCGAAUAGGGCGAGGAUUUGACGGUACCGGAAUAGAAAGCCACGGCUAACUACGUG